UGCAUGUGGAGACGCAGAUGCCUGACAAAGC
rnacentral:piRNA from 1 species